GACAGAGGUGGCUAGCGUUGUUCGGAUUUAUUGGGCGUAAAGCGCACGCAGGCGGUUUGGUAAGUCAGGGGUGAAAUUCUGCAGCUUAACUGCGGGACUGCCUUUGAUACUGCCUUUCUCGAGUGCAUGAGGGGGAGGCGGAAUUCCGAGUGUAGAGGUGAAAUUCGUAGAUAUUCGGAGGAACACCGGUGGCGAAGGCGGCUUCCUGGCAUGUAACUGACGCUCAGGUGCGAAAGCGUGGGGAGCAAACAGG
rnacentral:rRNA from 1 species